rnacentral:rRNA from 1 species
UACGUAGGUGGCAAGCGUUGUUCGGAUUUACUGGGCGUAAAGAGCGCGCAGGCGGUCGUUCAAGUCGCGUGUGAAAGCCCCCGGCUCAACUGGGGAGGGUCACGCGAUACUGAUCGACUCGAAGGCAGGAGAGGGAAGUGGAAUUCCCGGUGUAGUGGUGAAAUGCGUAGAUAUCGGAAGGAACAUCAGUGGCGAAAGCGACUUCCUGGACCAGUACCGACGUUCAGGCACGAAAGCGUGGGGAGCAAACAGG